rnacentral:rRNA from 1 species
UACAGAGGGUGCAAGCGUUGUUCGGAAUUAUUGGGCGUAAAGCGCGUGUAGGCGGCUUUGCAAGUCGGGUGUGAAAGCCCUCAGCUCAACUGAGGAAGUGCGCCCGAAACUGCAGAGCUUGAGUGCCGGAGAGGGUGGCGGAAUUCCCCCAAGUAGAGGUGAAAUUCGUAGAUAUGGGGAGGAACACCGGUGGCGAAGGCGGCCACCUGGACGG